rnacentral:rRNA from 1 species
UACAGAGGUCCCGAGCGUUGUUCGGAUUUACUGGGCGUAAAGGGUGCGUAGGCGGCGGAGUAAGUUGGGUGUGAAAUCCCGGGGCUCAACCUCGGAAUUGCAUUCAAUACUGCUUCGCUCGAGUACUGGAGAGGAGGCUGGAAUUUACGGUGUAGCAGUGAAAUGCGUAGAUAUCGUAAGGAAGGCCGGUGGCGAAAGCGAGCCUCUGGACAGUUACUGACGCUGAUGCACGAAGGCCAGGGGAGCAAACGGG